rnacentral:misc_RNA from 1 species
GAUGAAGAACGUAGCGAAAUGCGAUACUUGGUGUGAAUUGCAGAAUCCCAUGAACCAUCGAGUCUUUGAACGCAAGUUGCGCCCGAAGCCACUAGGCCGAGGGCACGCCUGCCUGGGCGUCACACGCCGUUGCCCCCCCAUCUACUCCUUCGGGAUUGCGGGGGGGCGGAUGAUGGCCUCCCGUGCGCCUAGCCGCGCGGUUGGCAUAAAUACCAAGACCUCGGCGACGCACGCCACGACAAUCGGUGGUUGCGAAACCUCGGUUGCCCGUCGUGUGCGUUCGUCGCGCAUCGAGGGCUCGAAAAAAUGCUCGGCUCCGGCUGGGCUUUCAACGCGACCCCAGGUCAGGCGGGGUUACCCGCUGAAUUUAAGCAUAUCAAUAAGCGGAGGA